UCGAACUCCCAACCUCAGGUGAUCCGCCUGUCUUGGCCUCUCAAGUGCUGGGAUUACAGGGGUGAGCCACCGCGCCCAGCCGGGAGCCCCUAUUUUAAGGACGCUAUUGCUGUGGAGGAGUAACCCCACUUUUAGGAAUCCUUUUCCGUGCGAAAGGCUGUUUGAGAUCAGGCGCAACAACUUCUCCCGCUCAGGUUACCCUCAGAAAGGCUAUGGACCCCGGACUCCGCCCCAGAUUGCAUAACAACUGAGGGGUGGGUCCCUAUUUCCUCUCUGGGAUCUGUAGCCAAUCAUUCACGAGGUAAACAGAACGACCGAGUUUCUCUCAGCCGAGAACUGUGGCUGCCCCUCCGGUGAAAACAGAGGAAGUGGGAGCGGCAGGAAGCGCUUUGGGACCAGGGCGACCCCUGAAGCGUAGAGGAACCAGUAAAUCUUAGUGCUCCUCACUCUUUGCGUCUACGCUGCUUUUAUGAACUGUUAACACUCACUGUGAAGGUCUGCAGCUUCACUCCUUAAGCCAGCGAGACCACAAACCCACUGGGAGGGAUAAACAACUCCAGACGGGAGGAACAAACAACUUCGGGUGCACCACCUUUAUGAACUGUAGCACUCACUGUGAAGGUCUGCAGCUUCACUCCUGAGGCCAGCAAGACCACGAACCCACCAGAAGGAACGAACAACUCCAGAUAUGCCACCUUUAAGGGCUAUAACACUCACCGCGGAAGUCUGCAGCUUCACUCCUGAAGUCAGUGAGACCAUGAACCCACCAGAAGGAAGAAACUCUGGACACAUCUGAACAUCUGAAGGAACAAACUCUGGACACACCAUCUUUAAGAACUGUAACACUCACCGCGAGGGUACACGGCUUCAUUCUUGAAGUCAGCGAGACUAAGAACCCAACAAUUCCGGACACAGCAUGAUCUUGGUUCACUACAACCUGGAUCUCCCAGAGUCAAGCAAUCCUCUCGUCUCAGUCUCCCAAGUAGCUGGAACUACAGGUGUGUGCCACCAUGCCCCACUAAUUUUUGUAUUUAUUGUAGAGACGGUUUCAGCAUGUUGCCCAGGCUGGUCUCCAACUCCUGGACUCAAGUGAUCCUCUCCACCUAGGCCUCCCACAGUGCUGGGAUUACAGGAAUGAGCCACCACGCCCGGCCUAAUUGGAAGUUUUAGAGUGCAGUGGGGAUCACGUGCGUAGAGGUUACUGCUGCCUUAAUUAAAGGAGACAACAUGUUUCAUAAAACUUGGAAAUUGUAGAGGGUGUGGGGAACCACUCAAAUUCAGAAUAUCAAAACAGAACUUUAUUUUUUGUGUAUUUGUUGCCAAUCUUUUUCCCUACAUAUGUAAUGUUUGUUUGUUUGACAUGACUACCAUUUCUGUUUUCAUAAUAUGUUUAAUACUUUUCCUCCACUUAACAAACAUGGCUACGAUUUGCCAAGUUGCUGAUCAUCCUUUUUUUUUUUUUUUCGAGACAGAGUUUCACCCUUGUUGCCCAGGCUGGAGUGCAGUGGCAGAUCUCAGCUCACUACAACCUCUGCCUGCUGGGUUCAAGUGAUUCUCCAGCCUCAGCCUCCC
rnacentral:lncRNA from 1 species